ACCUCCCUAUUCUGAGCAGGACAGGAGCCACGCAGAGCCAGCUGGUUGUGGCUCCUCUCACCCAUCUGAAGAAGGUGAGCAAGGAUCCCUGAGGUAUCCAUUGCCAAGUCAUCGGGAGAGUGGCUUCGCCUCAGGACUGUUGCCGCACUGGGUCAAUAUUCUAGUCUUGUUGUGCUAGUGCUCCUUAGUUGACAUCCAUGAUCCUUCCCUGCUCCCACCCUGUGUAAACUCCUUACACCUGGAACACCAAGAAGUGAAAAUGCUGAGCCCUCAGAGCUGCUCCUGUUCAGGCAGGACAGGAGGGGGUGGCCAGACUGUGGGGUACUUGAGCCCCUUCCCCUCUGCUCCAAGGACAGCGCAGGGGAAAUGCCUGAAGAGCUCAGCACACAGCCAGAACAGCAGCUGGGUGUUUAGUUACUGGUUAGAAUAACUUUAGUCUUGCUCAGCUGCUCUUUGCUUCCCUCACCCAGGCAGUCUGAUACCCCUCCAUGAGCAGAGGCAGGUGCCCUGGUGCAGUGGAGUCUCUGCCUUCCCUGAGUUGGACAUGUCUGGUUGCUGCAGCUGGAUGCUCAAGAGCAGAGGAUCUAUCAACUGCAGACCAAGCAGAGGGAGAGGCAGGCAGAACUGGAGCAGAAAUGCAGCCGGACGAGCAGCUCAGCCAGGACCUGGGGGCCAGUCACCAGCUGCGGGAGGGAGCUCGGAGCAGCUUGUUCCAGAAGAUGGUGCAAUUUGGUGAUUGAUUCCUGGAGUCUGGCUGGUGCAUCUGCACUGGGGUAUAGAAGGCACAGACCCUGCCGUGAUGCCCAGAACACUCUGCCAGUGCCAGCCACACACAGCUCACAGCUCCAGAAGCAGAAGGGGAGCAUUCCAUCAAUGUGAGUGGAUAUUUUUCUCCCAUUAAAAUGUUUAAUUUAUUUUUGAAUGCACAUGAACUUUGAGGGCCCACCAUACCCUGUGUGAAGCAGUCUGACACAGCACAUGACAUUAAAAAAAGA